rnacentral:lncRNA from 1 species
GGAUUUGCCAUCUUAAGCCCCUAGCGCAGGGACGCGGAAUUCCCUGGGACAGACUCUCUCACAGACAAAUGAUGGCAUUGAAUAGAAGAAUCCCACACAUCUCAGACUGGCAUUGAGCUCACCAUGUCACAGGGGACGACCUCCAUCUUUGGCUCGUCCUGCCUCUACCUCCAAACUGCUGAGAUCCCAGAUGCAUAGGGCCACACCUGGCUUCAUUCAGUGAUGAAGACCAAACUCAGGGCUUUGUACAUGCUAAGCAAGCCCUCCACCCACUGAGCUGCACCGCCUCAGCCACUUCCUUAACUUGCUUGCCACGCCACCAAAGGGACGUCUCUGGGAUGCAGCAUGGGGGUGAGGUGGUAUAGCAUCUCUUCACUAUCUAUUCAUCUCAAAGAAGACUUUUGGAAACUUUGGGGACUUUUAGAGACCCACAAACAGCCAAGCUGUAAGGACAGGCAGCCCUGUGGUCAGAGGAAGGAUGCAUGGCGGUGUCUGUGUGUGUGCCAUAUGCUUCCAUCUAUAAAGGCAGGAUGUAUGGCUGGGACACUCAGCCCUGAGCUGCAAAGCUCUGACUCAUGGAACACCAAGAAAACAUCAGGUGAGGAACCUGGGCUCUGGAGAUGAUCAGACAUGGGUACCACCUGCUUUUACACACAUGAGGGACCAAACCCCAAGAGCUCCCUAGGAUAUAGGCAACCUGAUGGAGCUUGAACUUUCAAGAGGGAGACCUUCUGGAAAGUUCCACUUCCAUUUCAGAGAUCGGCACUUAACUUAUCAUUCUUUCCCUUAUGAGUCUAACUUAAAAGUACUUCUGGAGGCAUGGUGACUCGUGCUGGUGAUCAUAGGAAACCACUUGGAAACUGAGGCAGGAGGAUGGAGAAUUUUAGAAUAGCUUGGGCUUUGUAGUGUGUUUCAAUGUGAAUAACUGAAUGAAUACUAAAAACCCUUGAGCUUUUCAGAAUCAAUGAGUUCUCUUGGUAUCUGCCCUAAGCAGGCAUCAUGCCCAACUCAUGGUCUGGGAAAUUCAUUAAAGGCCCUGACCCAAAAAAUAAAAAUAAAAAUAAAAAUAAAAAUAAAAAUAAAAAUAAAAAUAAAGGCCUUGGCCAGGCCCUUCCUGGCACCCU